GUCUACUAAUUAUAGACCUGUAUGAAAGGCAAAAUGAGGGUCUAACUGUCUCUUAUAAUAAAUCAAUUAAACUGAUCUCCUAGUAAAAAAGCUAGAAUAAUAACAUAAGACCAGAAGACCCUGUGAAGCUUAAAUUAAACUAUUAAACCAUAUAAUAAUUACUUUCGGUUGGGGCGACCUUGGAAAAAAAAAGAACUUCCAAGACCCAGCACAGCUGAUAAUUGAACCAAGUUACUCCAGGGAUAACAGCGCAAUCUUCUUCAAGAGUCCAUAUCAAAAAGAAGGUUUACGACCUCGAUGUUGGAUCAGGACAUCCUAAUGGUGCAGCCGCUAUUAAGGGUUCGUUUGUUCAACGAU
rnacentral:rRNA from 1 species